GACGAACGCUGGCGGCGUGCUUAACACAUGCAAGUCGAGCGGAGCGGCGAACGGGUGAGUAACGCGUGAGUAACUGCCCCCCUCUCUGGGAUAACAGUUGGAAACGGCUGCUAAUACCGGAUAGUGGGGGAUGACUCGCGUCCUAUCAGCUUGUUGGUGGGGUAGUGGCCUACCAAGGCGAGGACGGUUAGCCGGCCUGAGAGGGCGACCGGCCACAUUUAUCUCUUGUCCCUCCCCUACUCCUACUUUCCUCUGCCUUCGUGAAUAUUACUCAAUGGGGGAAACCCUGAUGCAACCAUCCUCGUACUUUAUGACGGCCUUCGGGUUGUAAACCGCUUUCAGCCAUGACGCGGUAGUGGCAGAAGAAGCACCGGCUAACUACGUGCCAGCAGCCGCGGUAAUAC
rnacentral:rRNA from 1 species